rnacentral:lncRNA from 1 species
UCCUUCUGGCCGAACCCAGGCCAAGGUGCGUCUAGCCUGCGCGCCCAUGCCGCACGUCAUCACCAUGUCGUGCGCUCCUUCGGUGUGCCGUCCUGAAGAUGUGCACCCUCCUUGCGCACAAUGCUGCGCCGAGCCCCCUCGCGCAGCAAGGCAUGACAUGGUGCCACCUGCACCCGUGCCAAGCCCGUGUCCAAGGCUUCAGCCCUCCUUCGGUGUGCCAUCCCGAAGAUGUGUGCUCUCCCUGCGCACAAUGCUGCACCGAGCCCCCUCGCGCAGCAAGGCAUGGCACGGUGCCACCUGCGCCCGUGCCAAGCCCGUGUCCAAGGCUUCAGCCCUCCUUCGGUGUGCCGUCCCGAAGAUGUGCGCUCU